UGAGCAAUCUGCCCUUCUCAUCGGAAUAAGCGUUGGAAACGACGUCUAAUGCCGAAUACGACCUCCUUUCGCAUGAUCGGAGGUGGAAAGCUCCGGCGGAGAAGGAUGAGCUCGCGGCCUAUCAGCUUGUUGGUGAGGUAAUGGCUCACCAAGGCUUCGACGGGUAGCCGGCCUGAGAGGGUGACCGGCCACACUGGGACUGAGACACGGCCCAGACUCCUAGGGAGG
rnacentral:rRNA from 1 species